rnacentral:rRNA from 1 species
CCCUUAGAUGUUCUGGGCCGCACGCGCGCUACACUGACAGAGCCAGCGAGUUAUUUCACCUUGGCCGGAAGGCUCCGGGUAAUCUUGUGAAACUCUGAUCGUGCUUUGGGAUCGAGCAUUGCAAUUAUUGCUCGUGAACGAGGAAUACCUAGUAAGCGCAAGUCAUCAGCUUGCGUUGAUUACGUCCCUGCCCUUUGUACACACCGCCCGUCGCACCUACCGAUUGAAUGGUCCGGUGAAAUCUUCGGAUUGAGACUUUGAUUUCUUCACGGAAAACGCUGUUUUAAAAAGUUGAUUAAACCUUACCAUUUAGAGGAAGGUGAAGUCGUAACA